rnacentral:lncRNA from 1 species
CGCGCCUCACACAAAGGCGGCGGUUGGGCGGGAGGCGCAUGCGCAGGGAGGGGUUGGCGCACCCACGUGGUGCUGGGUGAGUUCUACAGCUUCUCCAGCCAUUCUAUUUCUGCACACUAGUUGGUUUUGUUGUCAUCUUUUUUGCAAGAUCAUCUCCUUUAGAGGCUUAUUGUGGAGACUGAAAAUUCUGCAGAACGUGGUGUUUCUAUUUGGAGGACAGUUCUACAUCCAGUUACUUAAUCUGAAAAGGAACAGCAGGAUAAAUAAUCACAGAGGGGAUUUGAAGUGUUGAUGUAGAAUUAUGAGGAUCAAAAAAAGAAAUGGGAAGAUGGUAUCUACCCUGGGAGUCUGGAGAUGCUCAUGCUCUUGAGUUUUGUUGCAACACAGAAAUAAAGGGUGCAUGUUGUGGUUCUGCUCCUGACACAGCUCUUUUGCCAUGCAGGAAGCCUCUGAGGAAGGCUGCCUUUCUAAAGAUUAGAUCCAAGUUGAUGGAAGUAAUCCCAGCUGACUUGGGCAGCGCUAGGUCAGACCAUAAACCAGUUGCCCUGCAGCUAACUGAAAAACAUGGCUUCAAUGUGAGAAGUAACUGAAGCACACAUUGGCAGUGGGUGGCAGAAGGGCCCAAGGUUUCAAAAGCAAACUGCAUGGGACCGCUGAAGAAACAGUCCAUUGAAAACCCACCUCAUGUAAGUUUUAGGCAAAGGUGGUCUCCAGCCCUUUCAAGCAGAAUUUCAAGUUGCUGAGCUCAUCCUCCAGCACCACUUGGUACUACUCAGGGUAGCACUUCCAUUGCCAGGAUCCAGCUCAGUAGAACAGUCCAUCUUUGCUCUCAUCAUUUGGCCCAAGCACACCUCAGCACCCAGCAAGUUCCCUCAUUCCUACUGAAGAGAUGGGAAUCCAGUGUUCAUCCUGAGUACCCUGCUACACCUUCUGCUUCCGUUUCCAUUUGCAAGAAGUGUUUGCUGCUUCUGUGGAAUUUAUUAAAGAUUUCUUUAAUAAAACUACUGUUG